rnacentral:rRNA from 1 species
CAGCAGCCACGGUAAUACGAAGGGUGCAAGCGUUACUCGGAAUUACUGGGCGUAAAGCGUGCGUAGGUGGUGGUUUAAGUCCGUUGUGAAAGCCCUGGGCUCAACCUGGGAAUUGCAGUGGAUACUGGGUCACUAGAGUGUGGUAGAGGAUAGUGGAAUUUCCGGUGUAGCAGUGAAAUGCGUAGAGAUCGGAAGGAACAUCUGUGGCGAAGGCGACUAUCUGGGCCAACACUGACACUGAGGCACGAAAGCGUGGGGAGCAAACAGGAUUAGAUACCCCGGUAGUCCCUGUCUCUUAUAC